AGAAAACAGAGUUCAGGGAAGUUCUAGUUCCAUCACGUUGACCCACACAGAACAGGUGUAUUAACAAUAGGUGUGCUUCCACAGUGACCGCUCUCCCAGCUGCCUGCUUUUUGCACGUUGUCUCCAUCCGAAGAGUCCUGGAAUGCCAGCCUUGUCUCAAGUCUGGGAGUAGAGGUGCCCGAUUCUGGUGCUGUGGUAUCACCCACUACAUCAAACCCCAAAGUUGAUACAACGCAGGAGGAGCCGCAGGCAUGAGACUGGUGGAGAAUGAACGUGAGGAGAGAGGGGCCAGAGGGCAGCCCGGUCCAGAGAGGAGAAGGCUCAGCAAACUGUCAUCCAGACCGACGCCAGGUGCAUUCAGAGUCGGGGAAGUGACCCAAGGCCACGGCCGGUGGACUGUGACAGGCGCUGUGUUAGAUGCUGUGUUUGGGCGGGAGCACUGAUCCCAUCUGGCUGAUGAAGGAAUAGUGCUCCGGAGAGCAAUUAAACGCGAUCCAGUCGGGCUCCCAGGAACAAAUAAUUUAAGACCGAUUCCCGACCGAACAGGAUCUUCUACUUUUCCUUUAUGGAAACGAGUUGGCCGCGCUGAGAUUCUCUCGGUGUUCCCCAGGGAGGCGGUUCUUAAAUUUGAAAACUGCGAAAGUGGAUCAAAUAUCUGAAGAGGGCGAAUGGAGAGCAUAAGUCAUUCAUCUAUUCAUGCAAAGAUGCAGGGCAGUGAUCUGAAGGAGGGGUGAGAGCUGAUGAGGGAGAAGGUCAGAGAGCUGAGUGGAUGGAGGAAGGCUAGUGGACAUCCACUGCAGCUGUCCAGGUUGGACACGGAAGGAAUUUGGGCAAGAGUAUGGUAUGGAGAUUGGAAAGAAGUGGAUGGAUCUGCGUGUCAACUGUAGGGUUUGGCGGUGGUUUGCUUACCAGCCAUUGGGAAGAGCAAAGGGUAAAGAACGACCUGUGGACUCCGCCCCCACAACCAGGAGAAGCCAAUGAUGCUGGAACAGGAGCUCUAGACUGUCAAGUUUGGGCCACCCACAAAAAGAGACUCCUGAGCCCCUGGAAGAGGAAUCACGGACUUUGUCUUACUUUUUCUCUAAACGAGUCAGAGAAGACUGUUCUUCUGUUUCACAAGCUUAUUUGUUUGUCUUGAGAGGGGGAGAGAGGAUCC